GCCUGGGUAGCUCAGUCGGUUAAGCGUCUGACUUCGGCUCAGGGUUCGUGGGUUCAAGCCCCACAUCGGGCU
rfam:Felis catus isolate Cinnamon breed Abyssinian chromosome D2, whole genome shotgun sequence.